rnacentral:lncRNA from 1 species
UCUGGUUAUACUGACAUACUUAGACCCUGGGCCAAGAUCAGUCCUCUUCCCAUAGAGUUCUCCACUUGGUCAAUUUCUAAAAGCAAUGUUGUAUUCUAGUGUGGGGUUGUAUGUUGUCAGUGCCACACUGUGUGGCUUUUUAAUGGCACAUACUAUCUCAUAGACAGUCAUACGUCUAAGAGUCCCUAGGACCUGACUUAGUUUCCGGCACAUAGUGCAUUGGGAAUCAUCACAAGGCUUGCACUUGGGUCUCCUUUGCUGUGAGGUAAUGCGCUGCUGGUGUCCUGAACAAGAAGCAAAGGUUGCGAGCGUUGGAGCUCUGGCUUUGUAGUGUAGAUUUACAGAUUCUGGAUUACCAUAAUGGGGUUUCAUUGUUUGUUUUGGUGUGGUUUCAAUCCCACUGUGGCAUGGUAGCGAUUCUCCUGCUCUCUUAUUUACUUCUCCAGCGCUCUGACGCACUGCAUGACCUGGACCCACUCAUUCACCUGAAUUAGGCAAAAGUUUCUGCAAAUCUGAGCAUGACUUUUUUUAAAUUAAAAAACGAACAGACAAACAAAAUCUGGGUAUGUGGACAUGUGAGGCCUUGGGACUGGGGAUAUAGUGGUUAGCUUACACCUUAGAGAGUCCCAGCCUAUGAUGACUCUGGCUUCUCCCCAGCUUUGGCCUCCCUGUAUAUGGUUGGACUUUUUCUAGGCAAGAUGUUCUCAUUUAGGCCUGGUUCCUGAAGUCAGUCAGGCUGAAAGGCACCAGGGAAUUGUCAGUCUUGUCUAACUGACUGCCGUGUGUGGAAAUCACCCCUUCCAGCUUUGACCAGCUGCUUUUCUAGUAGAGCAGGCAGUGCCUCGGGGCUAAGACAGUUUCACAUCCCACUUGAGUUCCCUAUCAGCAGCUCUCACUGAAGCUUUCCACAGAAAUAAAUGGUGCCUGUCUUCUGCCGCCAUCCUUUCCUUUUAAGCAGAGACAGAUACCCACAAAACCCCACUUGGCCACCCGUCACAAGUCUCUGUUAAGUAGACAAACUAGAAUUUAGACAUUAAGUAAUCUCAGAACAGGAAAAUACUUGGGAGAUGUCACCACUAAUCUAACUUCAGAAUGCUAGUGCUCCCUGAUGUCAGCACCAGGUGUGCAGGCAAUGAGCAAGAACUGAAGUCUGUGCUCGAGGCAGGAUCGACCCUUCUUUUUUUCUAAUUCCACACAGACACGUCUUCGGCCUCUGAGGAUGAGGGCUCUCUGAGACGCCAAGCUGCGCUCUCUGCUGCCUUGCAACAAAGCUUGCAGAAUGCUGAGUCCUGGAUCAACCGCUCAAUUCAGGGAUCGUCCACUUCUUCAUCUGCAUCUUCCACGCUGUCCCAUGGAGAGGUCAAAGGAACCAGUGGGUCUCUAGCUGAUGUGUUUGCCAAUACUCGAAUAGGUAGGAGUUGGAUCUACCCAAGAAACCCACCCAAUGUUCCACUUGGCAACCAGUAUCCAGGAAACAGUUUUUGAUUGUGUUAAGUUUUCGAAGGCUUAGAAAGUUUGAUCACAGAGAACAGUUAAUGAGGUAGAGAGGGAAAGGCCACAGUGUGUUCAUUGCAGGGUGAUGGGUGUCAUCGCCAGGAUUGUACAGAACAUCCCUCACCUGAAGCCAUAUCUAUUUCUAUAAGCAAUACUGAAGCUGCGAAAUAGAACACCAGUCUGAGUAUGGGUUUAUCC